rnacentral:lncRNA from 1 species
UUUCCCGUUUGAAAGGUUUUACACUAGUCAUUUUUUGGGCCCUUUAUAGCUUGCUGUUCGGUGUGAGCCAACGCUCUGUGUUGAAGACCGUACUUUGACCUAUAAUGGUUUACUUUUACAAAUUGUCAUUUGGAUGGGGAGUUGUCUCAUUGGUACUCAUACCACAUCUUCUUAUAUCUGUAAGCAUAUUUUUCCAGGCGAGGGAUUCAGGCUCAAAAGAGUCUAUUAUAAGU